GGCAGCACUACGCGGACCGGCGGCGGCCCGGGUGGCGGCGGGGGUGGCCGGUUCGGCGCCGGCCGCAGCCCC
rnacentral:tRNA from 1 species